CCAGGAGCUGGUUUGUUCACUGAGUUCUGGACAGAACCAUUUUCCCCAAAUGACCAGAAGGAUGAGGUCGGCGAUUUCUCUCAGUUUUUUGCUGACUUUCUUAUCCCGUGUCCAUUCGGAGAUUGUGUUGACUCAGCCAGAGGCAGAGACCGGGCGUCCCGGAGGCACCUUGAGACUGACUUGUAAAACCAGCGGCUUCGACCUUGGCAGCAACUACAUGUACUGGGUCCGACAGGUUCCCGGACAGGGGCUGGAAUGGCUCCUUGAGUACUAUAGUUCAUCCAACAACUACUACGCCCCAGCAAUUAAGAAUCGAUUUACUGCGUCCAAAGACACUUCAAGAAACAUCUUCUCCUUGGACAUGACGAGCCUGAAGACUGAAGACACCGCCAUCUAUUAUUGUGCAAGGUACCACAGCGAAAGGGACCAGGGCUUGGACUACUGGGGACAAGGGACCAUGGUGAUGGUGACUGCAGCGACACCGUCUUCGCCCAUUCUCUACAGCCUGGUCUCCUCCUGUCAGCAACACAACACCGACGGCUCCAUUACCUACGGCUGUUUGGCGAUGGACUACUCCCCUGAAAUCACCAGCCUGACCUGGAAGAAAGAUGGGCAGCCGAUCACCACUGGAUUUAAGACUUACCCGUCAGUGAGAAACCAGAAGGGCACCUUCACCCUGAGCAGCCAGUUAACCAUCACCGAGUCAGAGGGGGAAUGUAGCAAAAUCAAGUGUGAGGUUCGACACAGCGGCACAGACAAGAGCAUUGGAAUGCAAUGCCCUGAAACCUUCCCUCCAACUGUUCUCCUCACCGUGAGUUCCAAGGAGGAAAUCACAACCAACAAAUUUGCAACCGCCGUCUGUUCAAUCAUCGAUUUCCGUCCAAAGUCAGUGACCGUGAAGUGGCUGAAGAAUGGACAGCCCAUGGAUUCAGGAAUUGUCACCUCUCCCGCCUUUGAAGUGAAUGGGAACUUCUCGGCGACCAGUCGGCUGAAAGUCUCCGCUGGGGAAUGGUUCACCGACGCAGUCUAUACCUGUCAGGUCACUCACCAAGAGGUCACCCAAAGUCGAAACGCCACCAAGUGUGAGGAACAUUCCCAAUGCAACGAUCCCAAAAUUACUCUACUGCCACCGCCAAUAGAACAGGUCUUACUGGAGGCGACGGUGACAUUAACCUGCAUCGUUUCUAAUGCCCCUUAUGGAGUCCUCGUGUCCUGGACCCAAGAAAAGAAGCCUUUGAAAUCAGAGAUUGCAGUCCAACCGGGAGAGGAUCACAACAGCGUGGUCAGCAACGUAAACAUCUCGACACAAGCCUGGCUGAGUGGGGCUGAGUUCUACUGCGUGGUGAGCCAUCAGGAUCUGCCGACUCCUUUAAGAAGUUCCAUCCACAAGGAAGCAGUUGAAAAUCAGCGGGAACCGUCCGUGUCUGUCCUCCUGCCCUCGGCAGAAGAUGUCUCCGCUCAGAGAUUCGUCUCCCUCAGCUGCUUAGUGAGAGGUUUCUCCCCCCGAGAGAUCUUCGUCAAGUGGACCGUCAAUGACAAGCCGGUGAAUCCCGGGAAUUACAAGAACACCGAGGUGGUGGCGGAAAACGGCAAUAGCUCCUUCUUCAUGUACAGCCUGUUAUCCAUUGCAGCGGAGGAGUGGGCCAGCGGCGCUUCUUACUCCUGUGUGGUGGGACAUGAAGCGAUCCCCUUGAAGAUCAUCAACAGAACAGUUGAUAAAUCCAGCGAUUCCACAGACCGCACCUGGAUUGAAGACUCUGUGGAUGAUAACGGCAACAUCUGGACAACCGCUUCCACGUUCAUCAUCCUGUUCUUCCUGAGCAUUUUCUACAGUACUGCCGUCACUCUUGUGAAGAUCAAGUGAUCGGUUGCAUUUUGGACACCAUAGACUUUCCUCGGCUGUUUACUGAGAUUUCUGUAUUACGAAUUUAAAAUAUGCCCUUUUGGUGCCUCUAAAAAUGAAAUACCUUCAGUUUAUGUUUCCGAAUCUGUAACUGAGACAAUCAUGGACGGUAUUUCAAUGUUUCUGUUUGAAAUGCGCGAGGUAUUUAUGACUGUAUUGAAAUUAUGGCUUAUAAUUUCCCUUUAAUUUGAAUUCGCUGUGUAAAUAAGUAACUUUCCUCAUUCCUCAUUCACAUUUAUUACGUUCUCUUCAUGUUGAGCUCCUAUUUUCUCUUCCUGGUGUCUGUUACUGUUGUACAUAUAGUUGGCAGCUCAGGGCUAAUGUGCUCUGUUCUCAAUGUGACUUUCAGUCGUUGUAUUAAUUUCAAUUCACUUUAAAAUAAACUUUUCUGUCAAAUGUUCUCUGAAAAUGUUAAUAAAUCGUGAAUGUGAAAUGAA